UGCGGAGGGUGCAAGCGUUGUCCGGAUUUAUUGGGUUUAAAGGGUGCGUAGGCGGCUGUUUAAGUCAGCGGUGAAAGUUUUGGGCUCAACCCAGAAAUUGCCAUUGAUACUGGACAGCUUGAGUAUUGGAGGGGUACAUGGAAUUGAUGGUGUAGCGGUGAAAUGCAUAGAUACCAUCAGGAACACCGAUAGCGAAGGCAUUGUACUGGCCAAU
rnacentral:rRNA from 1 species